AUUGAACGCUGGCGGCAGGCCUAACACAUGCAAGUCGAACGGUAACAGGAAGCAGCUUGCUGCUUUGCUGACGAGUGGCGGACGGGUGAGUAAUGUCUGGGAAACUGCCUGAUGGAGGGGGAUAACUACUGGAAACGGUAGCUAAUACCGCAUAACGUCGCAAGACCAAAGAGGGGGGACCUUCGGGCCUCUUGCCAUCGGAUGUGCCCAGAUGGGAUUAGCUAGUAGGUGGGGUAACGGCUCACCUAGGCGACGAUCCCUAGCUGGUCUGAGAGGAUGACCAGCCACACUGGAACUGAGACACGGUCCAGACUCCUACGGGAGGCAGCAGUGGGGAAUAUUGCACAAUGGGCGCAAGCCUGAUGCAGCCAUGCCGCGUGUAUGAAGAAGGCCUUCGGGUUGU
rnacentral:rRNA from 1 species